rnacentral:rRNA from 1 species
UGGGGAAUAUUGGACAAUGGGCGAAAGCCUGAUCCAGCCAUGCCGCGUGUGUGAAGAAGGUCUUCGGAUUGUAAAGCACUUUAAGUUGGGAGGAAGGGCAGUAAGCGAAUACCUUGCUGUUUUGACGUUACCGACAGAAUAAGCACCGGCUAACUCUGUGCCAGCAGCCGCGGUAAUACAGAGGGUGCAAGCGUUAAUCGGAAUUACUGGGCGUAAAGCGCGCGUAGGUGGUUCGCUAAGUUGAAUGUGAAAGCCCCGGGCUCAACCUGGGAAAUGCAGCCAAUACAGGCGGGCUAGAGUAGGGCAGAGGGUGGUGGAAUUUCCUGUGUAGCGGUGAAAUGCGUAGAUAUAGGAAGGAACACCAGUGGCGAAGGCGACCACCUGGGCUCAUACUGACACUGGGGUGCGAAAGCGUGGGGAGCAAACAGG